AACUCUGUGUGUAUUUUCUGCUCAAUUUUUUAGUAACCUAACUGAAUAGCCUAUGCACUUGAUCGAACUGAAAACAGGGAGAUCUUNNNNNNNNNNNNNNNNNNNNNNNNNNNNNNNNNNNNNNNNNNNNNNNNNCUGUCAGAUAAGGGCAAACAUGAGACUCAGUCUGGUGGAGAUCAAUUGGAAUGCUAUGCCAGUAUUUGAUCAUGCAUCCCAUCAGCACAUGACUCUCAAGAUGAAAACUACUUUAAUUCAUAUGAACCAAAAAGAGCCCACAUCACCAAGUCAUGCUAGCCAAAGAACAAAGCUGGAAGCAUCACGCUACCUGACUUCAAACUAUACUACAAGGCUACAGUAACCAAAACAGCAUGGUACUGGUACCAAAACACAGAUAUAGAUCAAUGGAACAGAACAGAGCCUCAGAAAUAACGCCGCUUAGCUAGACUAAGAAAAGAAGAGGGAGGAUGCAAAUAACUAAAUUCAGAAAUGAAAGCUGGGGACAUAACUACUACCCAAAAGAAUAAAAUGCCUAGAAAUGAAUUUAACCAAGAAAAUGAAAGACUUGUACACUGAAAAUUGUAGGACAUUGCUGAAGGAAAUUUUAAAAGUGAGCAAAGAGAUUGCCCCACUGUACUCCAUGCUUGGGCCACAGAGUGAGUGAGACUCUGUCUCAAAAAAAAAAAAAAAAGUUGAUUCUAAAAUUCAUAUGGAACUGCAAGCUAAACAAUCUUGAAACUGGUCAAACAGCCAAAAUGAUCUUGAAAAAGAACAAAAUUGGAGGACCUAAAGUCCUGGGAUUACAGGCAUGAGCCACCACGCCCAGCCUGCCAACUGUCUUACUCUGCUCAAGAUCUUUAAGUUCUCUGCAACAUUUAUAAAAUCAAUAUUUACAAAAUAGGUCAUGUUCCAUCACAUGGAAAUUUCAACACAUUCUAAAACAUAGAUGCCUAGAUUCCUUUGUUUUUUGCUACAAAGGAAUGAUUAGAUUAUGUGAAACGAGAAAGAAAGAAAUUAGAAACAAAUCUAUCCCCAAAAGAAAUAAAUAGUUGAAUUAAUAAAUAAAAAAUGAAACCUAGUGAUAGAGACUGAUACAGUACUAAAACUCUGGUACGUCUGCCAAAGGGCCAAAAUAUGGAUAUAUACAAGAAGACACAAAUACAUAAAUAUUAGUCAUGAGAAUGGCAUGACAAAAGCAUUUACAUACAAGUGUUUUAAAAUGAGAAUGAAAAUUAUACAAAAACUAUAGCACCCUAACUAGAUAAUCCAAAGUAAUGGGUGACUUUCCAAAUAAUAUUUAAGUAUUUACAAAGAAAUAUGAAAUAUUUAAGGUAUUAGCAAACAAAUGGCAAGGGCAUUAUUAUUACAGUCAUUAAUAAAAUUAUAAACUAAUUAUAAAAUUAAUAAUUUAUAAUUAUUCCACGUUAUAAUGAAAGUUUGGGCCAAUGCAAUAAAAC
rnacentral:lncRNA from 1 species